UUAUUUCUGCAUAGAAGGGUGGGCUUAAUUUUACAUAGAGGGGUGGGUUAUUAUUUGAUUUAUCUAGGUUGGGCUUGUAUCACUUAGCUUAUUCUCCAAAGUCAGCACUGGGCUGGAGUGUCUCCAGCCCAAAUGUAGAUCCGCCUUUGGGUGUAAAGAAUAACAAUAAUGCAUCACCAGUCCAAUGGAAAAAUAACAUAACUUACAGACCAUUGGUCUAAUGUUCGAAUCUCCAUGACACAUAAGCAAUGUAUAACACUCUUCUCCUUUCUAAAUUCGAGAAAGAAAAAAAAAGAAAAGAAAGACAUAUACCACAUCAUUAUGUUUAAAUCAACAUUGACACAUGUAUUUCGUAUGGAUUAAUUUCUUUUAACACAUAGAUUUAAAAUAAAUAAAUUUUUACUUAAUCUAAAAUUCACCACUGCACAGUACCCAAUAUUUUAUCCGAAACAGGUCUUGUGAUUUUAAGGGACCUAUACGAAACAUAAAAUGGGGCCUUCACAUUAUUAAAUACGAAAAUAAUAUUAAUAAAAUUUAUCAUAACAUAAUUCCAUAAAAAAAUAAAAUAAAUUAAACUUAAAAUAUUCAUCAUCAAAUUUUUCAAGAAAACAUGUGUGGUUAGUGGCAUGGCAUGGUAAUUUUGUCUAUUUGGACUUGGGUACACUAAACCAUUUUUUCCUUCUAAUUUAAUAUUAAACCAUGAAAAAUUCCCUUAAAUUGAUUUCUAUAAGUACCAAUUUCACACUGAAUAAAAGCUCACCCUUUUUGACCCAAAAAAAAAAAGAAAAAAAAGCCCACCCUUUGAAUUUUGGAAUAUCAGCAAUCUACAAAAGAAAACGUAAUUCAUAGGGUAUGGAAAAAGAGAUUUAGAAAAGAAGAAUAAGAAAGAUUUAUAACAAGAAAAGUCUAAAAUUAAACCUGGAGGAGUGUUAGCGGUGCAGUGCAGCUAUCUUAAGAAAUCCAACGUUAUCUAAAUAUUGUUUUGUCAAAAAUAUUAAAUAAAUAUAUAAUACAUAGAUAUUAAUAUAAUAUAAGAUUUUUUAAAUACCUUAUACAAUGGGCCCAAGGAGGUAGCACCUCCGAUCCCUGUCCAAGACCGACACUGCCAUUACUUGACCAACUCCGCAACCCAGCCGUCACCACUACACCCCCAGAUAUCCAAAAUAAUCAUGAAAUAAAUACGAGGCCGACCUUUAGAUCAUAAAAUCCUCACCUUAUUGGACUUGGC
rnacentral:lncRNA from 1 species